rnacentral:tRNA from 1 species
GGCCCCUUCGUCUAGUGGACUAGGAUACUGCCCUCUCAAGGCAGAGACACGGGUUCGAAUCCCGUAGGGGCUA